rnacentral:rRNA from 1 species
CAUAGGUUAAUGAGGCGAACCGGGGGAACUGAAACAUCUAAGUACCCCGAGGAAAAGAAAUCAACCGAGAUUCCCCCAGUAGCGGCGAGCGAACGGGGAGCAGCCCAGAGCCUGAAUCAGUGUGUGUGUUAGUGGAAGCGUCUGGAAAGGCGCGCGAUACAGGGUGACAGCCCCGUACACAAAAAUGCACAUGCUGUGAGCUCGAUGAGUAGGGCGGGACACGUGGUAUCCUGUCUGAAUAUGGGGGGACCAUCCUCCAAGGCUAAAUACUCCUGACUGACCGAUAGUGAACCAGUACCGUGAGGGAAAGGCGAAAAGAACCCCGGCGAGGGGAGUGAAAAAGAACCUGAAACCGUGUACGUACAAGCAGUGGGAGCACGCUUAGGCGUGUGACUGCGUACCUUUUGUAUAAUGGGUCAGCGACUUAUAUUCUGUAGCAAGGUUAACCGAAUAGGGGAGCCGAAGGGAAACCGAGUCUUAACUGGGCGUUAAGUUGCAGGGUAUAGACCCGAAACCCGGUGAUCUAGCCAUGGGCAGGUUGAAGGUUGGGUAACACUAACUGGAGGACCGAACCGACUAAUGUUGAAAAAUUAGCGGAUGACUUGUGGCUGGGGGUGAAAGGCCAAUCAAACCGGGAGAUAGCUGGUUCUCCCCGAAAGCUAUUUAGGUAGCGCCUCGUGAAUUCAUCUCCGGGGGUAGAGCACUGUUUCGGCAAGGGGGUCAUCCCGACUUACCAACCCGAUGCAAACUGCGAAUACCGGAGAAUGUUAUCACGGGAGACACACGGCGGGUGCUAACGUCCGUCGUGAAGAGGGAAACAACCCAGACCGCCAGCUAAGGUCCCAAAGUCAUGGUUAAGUGGGAAACGAUGUGGGAAGGCCCAGACAGCCAGGAUGUUGGCUUAGAAGCAGCCAUCAUUUAAAGAAAGCGUAAUAGCUCACUGGUCGAGUCGGCCUGCGCGGAAGAUGUAACGGGGCUAAACCAUGCACCGAAGCUGCGGCAGCGACGCUGAUGCGUUGUUGGGUAGGGGAGCGUUCUGUAAGCCUGUGAAGGUGUACUGUGAGGUAUGCUGGAGGUAUCAGAAGUGCGAAUGCUGACAUAAGUAACGAUAAAGCGGGUGAAAAGCCCGCUCGCCGGAAGACCAAGGGUUCCUGUCCAACGUUAAUCGGGGCAGGGUGAGUCGACCCCUAAGGCGAGGCCGAAAGGCGUAGUCGAUGGGAAACAGGUUAAUAUUCCUGUACUUGGUGUUACUGCGAAGGGGGGACGGAGAAGGCUAUGUUGGCCGGGCGACGGUUGUCCCGGUUUAAGCGUGUAGGCUGGUUUUCCAGGCAAAUCCGGAAAAUCAAGGCUGAGGCGUGAUGACGAGGCACUACGGUGCUGAAGCAACAAAUGCCCUGCUUCCAGGAAAAGCCUCUAAGCAUCAGGUAACAUCAAAUCGUACCCCAAACCGACACAGGUGGUCAGGUAGAGAAUACCAAGGCGCUUGAGAGAACUCGGGUGAAGGAACUAGGCAAAAUGGUGCCGUAACUUCGGGAGAAGGCACGCUGAUAUGUAGGUGAAGUCCCUCGCGGAUGGAGCUGAAAUCAGUCGAAGAUACCAGCUGGCUGCAACUGUUUAUUAAAAACACAGCACUGUGCAAACACGAAAGUGGACGUAUACGGUGUGACGCCUGCCCGGUGCCGGAAGGUUAAUUGAUGGGGUUAGCGCAAGCGAAGCUCUUGAUCGAAGCCCCGGUAAACGGCGGCCGUAACUAUAACGGUCCUAAGGUAGCGAAAUUCCUUGUCGGGUAAGUUCCGACCUGCACGAAUGGCGUAAUGAUGGCCAGGCUGUCUCCACCCGAGACUCAGUGAAAUUGAACUCGCUGUGAAGAUGCAGUGUACCCGCGGCAAGACGGAAAGACCCCGUGAACCUUUACUAUAGCUUGACACUGAACAUUGAGCCUUGAUGUGUAGGAUAGGUGGGAGGCUUUGAAGUGUGGACGCCAGUCUGCAUGGAGCCGACCUUGAAAUACCACCCUUUAAUGUUUGAUGUUCUAACGUUGACCCGUAAUCCGGGUUGCGGACAGUGUCUGGUGGGUAGUUUGACUGGGGCGGUCUCCUCCUAAAGAGUAACGGAGGAGCACGAAGGUUGGCUAAUCCUGGUCGGACAUCAGGAGGUUAGUGCAAUGGCAUAAGCCAGCUUGACUGCGAGCGUGACGGCGCGAGCAGGUGCGAAAGCAGGUCAUAGUGAUCCGGUGGUUCUGAAUGGAAGGGCCAUCGCUCAACGGAUAAAAGGUACUCCGGGGAUAACAGGCUGAUACCGCCCAAGAGUUCAUAUCGACGGCGGUGUUUGGCACCUCGAUGUCGGCUCAUCACAUCCUGGGGCUGAAGUAGGUCCCAAGGGUAUGGCUGUUCGCCAUUUAAAGUGGUACGCGAGCUGGGUUUAGAACGUCGUGAGACAGUUCGGUCCCUA